rnacentral:rRNA from 1 species
GUGCACCAGGCGCGAAACCUUCGCAAUGCGGGAAACCGCGACGAGGGGACUCCCAGUGCCUACGCUCAGCGUAGGCUGUUCCCGAGCCUAGAAAGCUCGGGGAGUAAGGGCUGGGUAAGACGGGUGCCAGCCGCCGCGGUAAUACCCGCAGCCCGAGUGGUGGCCACUAUUAUUGGGCCUAAAGCGUCCGUAGCCGGCCCGGUAAAUGCCUGGGUAAAUCGUGAGGCCUAACCUCACGAAUUCCGGGUAGACUGCCGGGCUAGGGACCGGAGGAGGGAGAGGGGUACUCCAGGGGUAGGGGUGGAAUCCUGUAAUCCCUGGAGGACCACCGGUGGCGAAGGCGCUCUCCUAGGACGGGUCCGACGGUGAGGGACGAAAGCCAGGGGAGCGAACCGGAUUAGAUA